rnacentral:rRNA from 1 species
AUACGGAGGGCGCGAGCGUUAAUCGGAAUUACUGGGCGUAAAGCGUACGUAGGCGGUUUGCUAAGUCAGAUGUGAAAGCCCCGGGCUUAACCUGGGAACUGCAUUUGAUACUGGCAGACUAGAGUAUGAUAGAGGGGGGUAGAAUUCCUGGUGCAGCGGUGAAAUGCGUAGAUAUCAGGAGGAAUACCAGUGGCGAAGGCGGCCCCCUGGAUCAAUACUGACGCUGAGGUACGAAAGCGUGGGGAGCGAACAGGAUUAGAAACCCUAGUAGUCC